UACGUAGGUGGCAAGCGUUGUCCGGCAUUAUUGGGCGUAAAGCGCGCGCAGGCGGUUAUGUAAGUCUGAUGUUAAAGCCCGGGGCUCAACCUCGGUUUGCAUUGGAAACUGCGUAACUUGAGUGCAGAAGAGGAAAGUGGUAUUCCACGUGUAGCGGUGAAAUGCGUAGAUAUGUGGAGGAACACCAGUGGAGAAGGCGACUUUCUGGUCUGUAACUGACGCUGGGGCGCGAAAGCGUGGGGAGCAAACAGG
rnacentral:rRNA from 1 species